AGCGUGUUGGUUUUAGGCAGAAAGCCAAAAUCCCAAACCCAACGCGUCCGAGUCAAAUCGCUCCCCUCCAACUCGUCACCAUCUUCUUCAAAUUUUAUUAAAAAUUUUUUUUUAAAAAUCACUAGCAAACCAUCAUGAAUUGAUCGAUAUACAUCAAGAUCCGGCGUCGUUUUCUCCGAUUAAAUUGGACCUGAACAUUGGUGGAUUUUCCAUUACCGGAGAAGCUGAUAUUGUGAGAAUUGGACAAGCAUGAGUUUUGUGUUUCGAGGGACUAGAGCUGAUUUAGAAAAUGGCUUCCCAGGAUUUGUCCCUGAGCGGCGAGCGGUGCGUGUCCAUACAACGCGGCCUGUUAAUUCCAACUCUCUUGUUUUUCUUGUCACAGUUCUUUUGUUAUUCAUGAUACUGAACUCGCAACAAAUGUCACCUAACUUUAUGCUUUGGUUAGUGCUUGGUGUAUUUUUGAUGGCUACAACUCUAAGAAUGUAUGCAACUUGUCAACAACUUCAAGCUCAGGCUCAAGCCCAUGCUGCCAUGGCCAGUGGUCUUCUUAGUCAUACUGAGUUACGUUUGCAUAUGCCACCAUCCAUAGCACUUGCAACCAGGGGACGUUUACAAGGCCUCAGACUCCAACUUGCACUUCUGGACCGGGAAUUUGAUGACCUAGAUUAUGAGACUUUGAGAGCAUUGGAUUCUGAUAAUGUUCCCACCACUGCAUCCAUGAGCGAGGAAGAAAUAAAUGCUCUUCCAGUUCACAAGUACAAGGUCACUGCUCUUCCAAGUGGUGGCUCUUCAAUGCAACAAGCCUCAUCUUCUGUCUCAGCUGAGCAAAAGAAGCAAGAUACUGCCAAUGCAGUGGGAAGCAUGAAGGCUUCAGAUGAUGAUCUGACUUGCAGUGUGUGCUUGGAGCAAGUUAAUGUUGGAGAACUGAUCCGCACUUUGCCAUGCUUGCAUCAGUUCCAUGCUAAUUGCAUUGAUCCAUGGCUGAGGCAACAAGGAACAUGCCCUGUUUGCAAAUUCAGGGCAGGAUCUGGGUGGCGCGAAGGACAAGGUGGAACUGAUGCUUCUUACAUGGUUUAACUGCAGGCAUUGGCCUAUACAUCAAUGAAAUCAUUCUGAUGAAAAGUACCUGCUUAUAUAGAAGCCUAUUAAUCAAGAUGAAUUGUAAUCAAGAAAACGGCAGGUUGCUGUAUGAUCAGUAUCAUUUGAACUUCUUUUUGAAGAAAAAUGGGGGGAAUAAUAGUUAAUAGCAAAAGUUAAUUGUAGUUCAGAAGCGUACCAAGAAAAUUAUAUUUUUAUAAUGUGUUUUAACAUGUUUAGAUCUUUUUUUUUUGAAAAAAUAAAAAG
rnacentral:misc_RNA from 1 species